rnacentral:rRNA from 1 species
AACCAGCACCUCAAGUGGUCAGGAUGAUUAUUGGGCCUAAAGCAUCCGUAGCCGGCUCUGUAAGUUUUNGGUUAAAUCUGUACGCUUAACGUACAGGCUGCCGGGAAUACUGCAAAGCUAGGGAGUGGGAGAGGUAGACGGUACUCGGUAGGAAAGUGGUAAAAUGCUUUGAUCUAUCGAUGACCACCUGUGGCGAAGGCGGUCUACCAGAACACGUCCGACGGUGAGGGAUGAAAGCUGGGGGAGCAAACCGGAUUAGAUACCCGGGUAGUCCCAGCUGUAAACUAUGCAAACUCAGUGAUGCAUUGGCUUGUGGCCCAUGCAGUGCUGC